UCACAUACGUUGUCGUGGAAACAAAAUUAGGAUAAAUUUCCACUAUUUUUCUAAUCACUGGGCGUAGUUGUUAUUUUCCAUACUUGUAGUAAACCAUUUAAAAAAACUUAAAAGUAUAUGUGUCUUUCAAUCUCUAACUGGCUCUCUCCAUUUUUUCCAUUGGCCAAAGGAAACAAAUCUUAUUAUUUAGUAAAGAUAGAUAAGAUAUAUAGAAAUUAAAUAUAGGGUGGGAAACAAAACCGAACCGAAUCGAGUCAAACCAAAACGAAACCGAUCCAAACCAAACCAAAGUCUAUUAUCGAAUAGUUUGGUUUAAGAUUUUUCCAACCCGAACAUACCAAACCAAAACCGAUCCAAACCGAACAGACUCAAACCAAACCAAGAAACCAAUGUGUUUUUGUUAUUAUUUGAAUUAAACAUACUAACAACAUACAAUAUACUAAAAUUCUAACACUAAAGUCACUAUUAACUUUAUUAACAAUGUUCGGUUUUUAGUUUUCCAUUUACUUUAGUUAGCUUUGGUUU
rnacentral:lncRNA from 1 species